GUUAAUUUAGGGUUCCAUUCUUCCAUGGCGCGAUGAAGGAGCUGCCGCCGGUGUAAGCGUACAAAUUCCAUCGAGAGCGGGGGCUGGGCUCUUCCUUCUGUCCACGAGAUUCUUUGUCGCUGCAACCAGCUCGUGAGAUUGUCGAAAUGCCGCGGCCUUCGCAAGGAAUUUCCCAAGGAAAUUUCUGUGUCGCAAUAUCUUCUAGCGACGUGAACGGGACAAGAGUCGAACGAAGUACAUUCUUCGGUAGCCUGUGUUGCGAUCAUCGGAAUAUGCCGGGCUCUAGACGAUUGCAUCGGAGACUGUUCUUUGACAACAUUGACCCGUGAAACCAGUCUCUUAUGAUCAUGGUUUCAUGCUUCGUGAACACCUCCCACUACGAAGAAUAUCUCUGUGUGAAGGAGUCUGCACCUGCGCAGCAUGUAUUUGCAGGUCCCGGCUGGUAAGCCAUCUUUCAAGUCAGUCCUGCUCUCAAGUCAAGUGUUUUAAACUGAAUCACAAAAGGAAAGUCUGCCUUAACCAGCUUCGAUUUACCUCCUGCUUGGAUCUCUCGCAGCUCUGAUGAGGCAACUCCUUUUCAACCUUGAUCCAGCUAAGUUCCUCGUACAGCUGUUGAUACAUAUUUCUGACAGUUUGCAACAUGAAAAAGAAGAAAAUCUAGGUGAGAAGAAUUAAGUACCUUGAAGAAAGCUUCCUUCUGGGGCACGAUUUCAGGACCAGUGGAAAAUUCUUGUUGUGAAUCAAUUUAAUACUAUUAAUAAAUUUUAUACCAAA